rnacentral:pre_miRNA from 1 species
AUAUAGGGCAGUCUGCCUUUAAGUAGGGGUAAAUUACUCUUGAAGGAAAAACUAUUCCUUUUUUUUUUUUCCUUUAAGUCAAGCAUCUUGU